rnacentral:rRNA from 1 species
CCUACGGGUGGCAGCAGUGAGGAAUAUUGGGCAAUGGGGGUAACCCUGACCCAGCCAUGUCGCGUGAGUGAAGAAGGUCCUCGGAUUGUAAAGCUCUUUUGGUCGUGACGAUGAUGACGGUAGGGUCUAAAGUUUCCCCGGCCAACUUCGUGCCAGCAGCCGUGGUAACACGCAGGGUGCGAGCGUUGUUCGGAAUUACUGGGCGUAAUGGGAGUGUAGGCGGGUAUGUAAGAUAGCGGUGAAAUGUCGGGGCUCAACCUCGGAACUGCCGUUAUGACUAUGGAUCUGGAGUAAGGGAGAGGAUGGCGGAAUACCCGGUGUAGAGGUGAAAUUCUUAGAUAUUGGGUAGAACACCGAUGGCGAAGGCAGCUAGCUGGCGAGUUACUGACGCUGAAGCUCGAAAGCAUGGGGAUCAAACAGGAUUAGAUACCCUUGUAGUC